rnacentral:lncRNA from 1 species
UCUUCUAAAGUAGUAACACAAUUCUUUGUUUAAAGGCUAUUCUCCAUUUAUAGUUAUUGACAUAAUUAUUUAUAAUAUGCCUUCCAAGUAUGUGGAGAAGUUUCCUAUUAACUUUGCUGAUUUAGUUCAGCAGUUGCCUCUUGAGGCAAAUCUAACUUUAAUGAAUAAAAAAAUAACAUUUUGUUCAAUCCAGAUGUCAAUGAUCUGUUUGCUUAGUUCCCCUUUUAAAAUUUCUAAGAGAAUAGCAAAUCCAUUAUUUUAAUAUUUUACAGUUUUACUUUUUUAGGAAAGAAUAUUUUCUUUACCAUAUAAUAUAUAAUAAAUAUAACACAUAAUAUGUAUCAUUUAUAAGAAACAUAGGAUCACCUAACACUCAGAGAUUUUUCCAAAUGAUUUCAUGAUUCUCUUUAACCCAGUAGUUAGAAAUAUACUAGUUACGGAAAAAACUUGUGUAGAAUAUAAAAAUAACCAAAGUAGCCUAUAUAUCACUAAUGUAAAUGAGAAGCCCAGUAGCGUUCUUUUAUCCUACUAAGAAUGUCCCUAAACAACAGUCCCAAAAAAGUUAAUAUUCAUUCAUUUUAUCAUUUCUGACAUUUAUAAAUAAAGUAUGAACAAGUUACAGUAAAGUUAGAAUAAAACCCACUUAAACAUGUGCAACCUCUGAUUAAAAAGAAAAAUGAAAAAUUGAGCCAGUUAUCAGGACAAUUUAAGCUUACAAAGUAAUUUUCUUGAGUUACUUGGCUAUCUCAAGCAAAUGAGCCUUUUAGUUCAAUUUGUACAAAGUGGCCUUAAUUCUUCAUGGUAUCUUGUGCAAAGCCAGGAAAAGCCUAUAUUUCUCUUCUUGCUGAAAUAAAAAAUUAGAGUGAAGAGAAAGCUAAAUCUAUGUUUCAUCAUGAGGUUCCUAUAAAUUUCCUUUAAAAGAUUUUGUUAAAUCUUCUCUAUAAAAGCAAAAGCAAAAGUUAUUAUACAAAGGUGUACAUAUCAUCCACAUAUAUUUUAUAGUGUAACUAUUCCUUGAUUAUGUAUUUUACACCUAACAUCAAAUGUUAUUUUCUUGCUUUGCUUUGUAACUCCAGAAAAUAGUCUAAUCCAGCAAAACAAGAAGAUUCCUAUUCAUUUCUCAUCAAGAAAACUGAUCUUUGGAGACCAUGAAAAUCAGGAGUGGAUGACGAUACAAUGCAUGUUUCCUCUCAUCCCUCUAAAAAGUUAUUUGGCAUCUUAAGAGACCAGUGUUUUUUCAGACAGUGCAGUCAAAACUAUCAGCAUAUAUAACACAUAAUAAAGGAUCCCUUGAUUCUUCUAUUCUUAAAGGAUUUGUUAUAAUUGCUUAAACAUACUCUUUCUGUUUUUCUCAGAUAAUUUACUUCUGAUUUAUAAUUCACCUUAACAUUUUUUUUUUUCAGGGCUGCACCAGUGGCAUAUGGAAGGUCCCAGGCUAGGGGUCUAAUCAGAGCUAUAGCUGUGGCCUAUGCCACAGUCACAGAAAUGCUGGAUCCAAGUCACAUCUGCAACCUACACUGAAGCUCAUGGCAACGCUGGAUCCUUAACCCACUUAGUGGGGCCAGAGAUCGAACCCACAUCCUUGUGGAUACUAGUCGGGUUCCUUUCUCCUGAGCUUUGACAGGAACUCCUAAUUCACCUUCUAAAUAAUCCUUUCAUCAUGAAGGAGAUAAGUACUUACUUGUGUAUACCAUUUACCAUUUCUCAGCGUGUUGACCUGAUCAUGUCUCCAUAACUGGACCCAGUACCCUUUCCCCACUUCCAGGGUACUAAUUAAUACUGAGAUAAGUUUAAGAAGGGAGAAAAAGAAGAAAGACAAAUCUUUCAUAAACAUGUUUUUAAUGUUUAAUCAUUGAUAAUACAACAUGACAUUGUUUAGCCUUAUUUCAUAAUGAAAUUGAUAUAAAGAAAAUCAAUUGCCCUCCUCUUGCCAAUGAAGUCUUAACUAUUUGGGGGAGGUAUUAAACAGUAACUUAAAAAUUGUAUAGCCACAUUCAAAACCAGGUCUGUUUAAUCUCAGUGACUCAGCAUGAGGCAAUACAAAAUAAUCUAGGCUUGGAGUAAUUUAAAGUAUUUAUGGUCAUGUCCUUUUGGUCCAUUCUGAAAGUCAGCUGAUUGAAAAACUACUUAUGAUUCCAUAGAUGGUGCACAGAAUCCAGGGUAUGAUAUGGAGGAAAUGCUGAUCAUAUAGUAUUGUUUAGACCAGAGAGAAAGCUAUAAUUCUAUGUAACCCAAUUCAAUGUGGAUUCUACCUACAAACAUCACCCUAAGUCUAAGAGCCCACUCUCUUAACAACUUUUGAAGAAAAGCAAUUUGUGGGUAUACGGAGCUUAGGUAUUCAACAUUAUUACUCUUAGAAAACCAAAAAUAAUGAAAAAUAUUUUCUGAAAUUAAAGUGAAGGAAUGUUAAAUUAUUGUAAUAAAGUUUCCAGAAGCAUUUUGCUUUAAAAUCCAAAACUUGUUUUCAAGUUUUUCUAAGGCAAAUAUAUACUGAUCAGUUUAUUGCUCUGAUUUUUUAAAUUUAUAUGCCAAACAAUCAUUAUUUUUAGGAAAAAUGACAUUUUUAGGUGAUAUCUGAGAAUAGCCUAACUCAUAAAGAAAAUAGUGAAAUAACACUUAAAAAUAUACUCAUUUCUAUCACUGUUAGAGUUACAGUAGUUACUGUCAGAGUUACAGUAGCACAGCAUUGGAAAAGCAGAUGUUUUACAAAUGUAUUAAAGCAAAAAGUUACAUUUUCAGAGAGAGAGCACAAGUGUGUUAAAAACGAUGGCCUGACUCACUCUACAAUUAUCUUUAUACCCCACAAUGUGGACCUGAGUGGAGAACCAAUUUCUCCUGCCCCAACCCCCUAUGUCAUGGGUAAGGGCUAAGUGUUGUUUGAUCUUGUAUGAGGCAUAUUGGAUCUUCUGAUUGGUCUUGGGCAGGAUACCUUAUUUGCAUGGGGAACAGGUUACAUGGUGGCCAGGUGAGAAAUAGGCUACAUUCCUUCUCUAUUAGGGAGUGAGCAGCCCAGGCUGGUCAAGGUGUGGGAAGGGGCAUUACAAUGAGACAUGGCCAGAAGCUUGUGGGUUUAAUCUCCUCAAAGGGGACUUGAAGACUAUAACAUCACCACCUUAAUUUCAAAGGGAUUCAAGACAGUUAAUUUGUGUACAUUAAUUUUGAUUACUAAAAUAUCAUUACCAUAUUAUUUUACACAUUUCUAUUCAAAAUUUAGUGGCCUUUUUUGCUUAUUUUUUUAAGAAAAUAUUUAAAUCAUUUAUAGAGGUCCUCCAUGUUUCACUUUACUCUUAUUAAUGUGUAUUAUCUAAUACAUAUUAGAUAAGUCACAAUUGCUACAAUCGUGGGUUAAAGAAAAAUGAGACAGAGAGAAAGAGGGGUGAUAAAAUAACAUUUUUCCAGUCUUCAGUGAGAGUAUAAAUAUAAUGCCCUCUCUCACAACUGAGGUAUUUCUCUGUCUCUUUCUGUCUCUCUCUCUCUCUCUCUCUCUCUCAUACGCACGCACACACACACACAUACACAUUUGUAUUUCCAAUAGAUUUUCAGUUGAAGUUACAGGUUUUUUUUCUUAGUUUCUACUUUAGUAUUAUUCAGUUCCCUGGCAUCCUUCCAAUGAUUUUCACUUCUCAGAAAAAACCUAGUUUUCAGUGUCUCAUUGUUUACAGUGAAUUCAAACUUCCCAUCUUUUUUCUCCUCAUUCUGCUUUUUUGGCUUUCAUUUAUAAGUAAAUGGAAGGCCCUAAAAGCUUGCCUGCUGUGCAGUGCAAACUUUAGAAAGUGACUUUCUAAUGACUGAGAGAUUGUCCUUUAGGAAAUUUCAAUAUUUCUUCCCAUGAAUCACCCUCCUUAGCAUUCUUUCAUAUUUCAGAGAUCCUUUUGUCCGGGAACUCAUUUAGAGCAGUGUAGCCAAGUGGAAAGGGGUUGAGCUGAAAGUCAGUGAAAUGAGGUUUCUAUCCUGGCUCUUGUUCUGCAUAUUCACUCACUCUGUGGCCCUGAAUUCCCUGUGUUGGUUAGAAAAAGAAAAUCUCCUUUGCUAUCCACCUCUUCCCUCCUUCUCAUUCUUAUUCUCUUUGUUCUUCUGCUUCAUCUCUCAAAGAAGUUUAAAGGAUAAAUUGCAUACUAUAUAGAAAACUUUGUAUAAGUAGUGAUAUAGUCCUAGUUAAAGAGUAAUAAAUCAGUGUAUGGCAAAGAGUAGAUCUUUUUGCUCAAUAUACAGUAAUAAAUAUGUGUAAAGGAUUAUGAUGAGGGAAAUAAUAUCUUUACUUGGGUCACCUAAUUCCCAGUGUUGUGACAGAUGCCCUGUUUAUUCUUCAUUAAGUUUGACAUGAGCAUACAAUUCCAAUUAUACAGAUAAAGAAAUAGGCCUAGAAAUUUUAAUUUUCUUUGUUCAUUCAUUUUGUUAUUCAGGGGAAUAAAUAUUA